CACGUAGGGCGCAAGCGUUGUCCGGAAUUAUUGGGCGUAAAGAGCUCGUAGGCGGUCUGUUGCGUCCGCUGUGAAAACUCGGGGCUUAACCCCGAGCCUGCAGUGGAUACGGGCAGACUAGAGGUAGGUAGGGGAGAAUGGAAUUCCCGGUGUAGCGGUGAAAUGCGCAGAUAUCGGGAGGAACACCAGUGGCGAAGGCGGCUCGCUGGACCGGUUCUGACGCUGAUGCGCGAAAGCGUGGGGAGCAAACGGG
rnacentral:rRNA from 1 species